rnacentral:misc_RNA from 1 species
GAUGAAGAAGCAGCGAAAUGCGAUACUUGGUGUGAAUUGCAGAAUCCCGUGAACCAUCGAGUCUUUGAACGCAAGUUGCGCCCGAAGCCAUUAGGCCGAGGGCACGCCUGCCUGGGCGUCACACGUCGUUGCCCCCCCAUCUACUCCUUCGGGAUUGCGGGGGGCGGAUGAUGGCCUCCCGUGCGCCUCGUCGCGCGGUUGGCAUAAAUGCCAAGUCCUCGGCGACACACGCCACGACAAUCGGUGGUUGCGAAACCUCGGUUGCCCGUCGUGUGCGGUCGUCGCGCAUCGAGGGCUCGAAAAAAUUGCCGGGCUCCGGCUCGGCUUUCAACGCGACCCCAGGUCAGGCGGGGUUACCCGCUGAAUUUAAGCAUAUCAAUAAGCGGAGGA